rnacentral:rRNA from 1 species
AACGAACGCUGGCGGCAUGCCUAACACAUGCAAGUCGAACGAGACCUUCGGGUCUAGUGGCGCACGGGUGCGUAACGCGUGGGAACCUGCCCUUAGGUUCGGAAUAACUCCCCGAAAGGGGUGCUAAUACCGGAUAAUGUCUUCGGACCAAAGAUUUAUCGCCUUUGGAUGGGCCCGCGUUGGAUUAGCUAGUUGGUAGGGUAAAAGCCUACCAAGGCGACGAUCCAUAGCUGGUCUGAGAGGAUGAUCAGCCACACUGGGACUGAGACACGGCCCAGACUCCUACGGGAGGCCGCAGUGGGGAAUAUUGGACCAUGGGCGAAAGCCUGAUCCAGCAAUGCCGCGUGAGUGAUGAAGGCCUUAGGGUUGUAAAGCUCUUUUACCCGGGAUGAUAAUGACAGUACCGGGAGAAUAAGCGCCGGCUAACUCCGUG